AUCAACACGUAACCAUAAUAUUAAGAAGAGUCAACAGAAACAAUCUCUCUAAGCCAAGAGGGGAACUCUGUCGUCCAACAGACGGCCCCAGAGCAACGACAAGAAAAUUUCGCUAAACUAUGAGCAGCAGUAUUAGCGUCACGAAACACAUGUUUCACAUCAAUAAGGAAGGUUUGCCUCGCAGCUUGAACAAUCUCUUUUAAAUCAUCGGGCAAACAUCGAGAAUCCUCAUCUUCACUCACCAUGACUCGCGCCGCAAGAAUCGAAUCCGUGUAAAUUUCCACCGGCGAGAUAUCAUUCUCCACACAAACGACGAUCCCUUGUAUAAUAUUUAUGUAUUUAUACUACAACUUUAUAUAAACAUGGCGAUAAUGUUUAUGUAUUUAUACUACAACUUUAUAUAGC
rnacentral:lncRNA from 1 species